GGGAAACUAGCUCAAAUGGUAGAGUGCUUGCUUUGCAUGCAAGAGAUAGCAGGAUUGAUGCCCCUGUUCUCUA
rfam:Alligator sinensis unplaced genomic scaffold scaffold194_1, whole genome shotgun sequence